rnacentral:rRNA from 1 species
GAAUAUUGCACAAUGGGCGCAAGCCUGAUGCAGUAACGCCGCGUGCGGGAUGAAGACCUUCGGGUUGUAAACCGCUUUUCACGGGGACGAGUGAGGACGGUACUUGUGGAAUCAGUCUCGGCUAACUACGGGCCAGCAGCCGCGGUAAGACGUAGGAGGCGAGCGUUAUCCGGAUUCACUGGGCGUAAAGCGCAUGUAGGCGGCUCGGCAAGUCGUGUGUGUAAGCCCCUGGCUCAACUGGGGGAGGUCAUGCGAGACUGGCGGGCUUGAGGACAGCAGAGGAGCGUGGAACUCCCGGUGUAGCGGUGGAAUGCGUAGAGAUCGGGAAGAACACCAGUGGCGAAGGCGGCGCUCUGGGCUGUGUCUGACGCUGAGAUGCGAAAGUGUGGGGAGCAAACGGG